rnacentral:rRNA from 1 species
GACGAACGCUGGCGGCGUGCUUAACACAUGCAAGUCGAACGAGAAAGGCUCUUCGGAGCUGAGUACAGUGGCGAACGGGUGAGUAACACGUGGGCAACCUGCCCCUGGGAGCGGGACAACCCGAGGAAACUCGGGCUAAUACCGCAUGAUUCGCAGGGCCUCAAGGCCUUGCGGGAAAUGGUAGCUUCGGCCUCCGCCCUGGGAUGGGCCCGCGGCGCAUUAGCUUGUUGGUGUGGGAACGGCCCACCAAGGCGACGAUGCGUAGCUGGUCUGAGAGGACGAUCAGCCACACUGGGACUGAGACACGGCCCAGACUCCUACGGGAGGCAGCAGUGGGGAAUCUUGCGCAAUGGGCGGAAGCCUGACGCAGCAACGCCGCGUGUGGGAAGACGGC